GCGUCCGGCGCAGGGGGCGCGCGGCUCCGCGGGGCUGCGCGCCCGCGGCUCCCGGCAACUUCUGCUCCUCUGGGGAGCGCCGGGGUGCUGGCGGGUCCUGCCCGGCCGCCGGGGCUGGGCGUGGGGCGCGGGGACGGGAACGGGUCCGGGUCCGGGUCCUGCCUGCAGCGCUCCGGAGCUGGCGGAGAAAGCCAGAUUGGUUUCCUGAUCCAGCUCACUGUGCAGGCACACAAGCAAGGCAGGGGAACAUCAACUGAAGAGUACCUAUGACACUGGCAUUGUGGAAAAAGACAGAGAUGACGUUAUGCAGAGUGUUGUUGCCAAUUACACAUUAGAGAUGAUUCAGAUUAUUUGUCUGUGACUUCAGAAGACUAAUAAAUCAUCGAAGGAAGUUCCCUAUAGUUCCACAUAUGCUAAUUUGUAUAUAAAAAGACGGGGAAAAUGUCUUGAAAUGCUAAAUGAAAAAGAACUUUAAAAUUUCAGUCUUGUUAAUAAAGUUAUAAAUGUCAAUAACCAAUACAAUCCCUUGUUUUCUGAAAAAAAUAA